rnacentral:rRNA from 1 species
UACUGCUAUCAGUGUUCGAUUAAGCCAUGCGAGUUAAAUGUUCUUCGUGAACAUGGCGUACUGCUCAGUAACACGUGGAUAACCUGCCCUAAGGUCCGGCAUAACCCCGGGAAACUGGGGAUAAUACCGGAUAAACCAUAGAUACUGGAAUGUUCUGUGGUUAAAAGCUCCGGCGCCUUAGGAUGGAUCUGCGGCCUAUCAGGUAGUAGUGGGUGUAAAGUACCUACUAGCCGACGACGGGUACGGGUUGUGAGAGCAAGAGCCCGGAGAUGGAUUCUGAGACAUGAAUCCAGGCCCUACGGGGCGCAGCAGGCGCGAAAUCUUUACAAUGCGGGAAACCGCGAUAAGGGGACACCGAGUGCCAGCAUAUUAUGUUGGCUGUCCACCUGUAUAAAUCACAGGUGUUAGCAAGGGCCGGGCAAGACCGGUGCCAGCCGCCGCGGUAACACCGGCGGCCCGAGUGGUAGCCACUAUUAUUGGGUCUAAAGGGUCCGUAGCCGGUUUGAUCAGUCUUCCGGGAAAUCUGACAGCUCAACUGUUAGG